rnacentral:lncRNA from 1 species
AGAGACCCUGUGGAAGAGAGACGGAGACUGCGGCAAAAAGAGGAAAGGAGGGUUACGGGCACCGAGGGGGAGCUGGAGUCAGCCGCAAGGAGAGAGGGAGCGGGGGAGGAAAAGAGGCGGGAGAGAGACCCUAAAAAGCAAGCUAGACUCUCCAGCCGGCCGCUCUGGUGUGGGGAGGGAGCGUCAUCUCAAGGACACUGAAAAAGCUGUUUGCCGUUUUGCUGUUUGCCUCCUUGUCACGACCUCAGCGACGGCAGAUGGAGCCAGUGGAGGGAGAGAGACAGACGGCAAUGCUUGGGUAGCCAGGGCUCCCUGCCGGCCCCACUCCUCCUGCAGACACGAGCACGCACACACACACGCGCGCAAAACACACACGCUGCCCUUCGCCACACGUAGCCAAGUAAAAUACACAAAAAGCAACUGAGAUACCAUUCGCACAUGACCACAUGGAAACACACAAAUGAACAAACGCAUUCAGGCAUAGCCACAUGCCAGUCACACAGAUGGAUAGACAAGAGCCUGGGGUACAAAGCCACAUGGCACAAAGCCACCUGGAUGUAUAUGCCCCUACACACGCACACAGAAAAAAACAUGCAAACUUAAGUACACACCUAUCCAGACAAGUGUGAGUGCACACACACACACACUCACACACUCUACCUGACACGUUAGUGCAUCCCCAUUGGGCCCCAGUUUCUCUCAGCAAAUUCAGAUCACCCAGCCUGACUUCAAAACCUGCCCCCUUCCAUUCCCCUUCAUGCUGGUUCCUGAAUCCAGCUCGUUGCUCCAGGCUAGCAAAGCUGUCCACAGCCUCAUUUGUGGUUUGCUCACCUGCCUCAGCACCAUCAGCCAGAGGGGGCGAGGAACGCGGCUCUGCGGAGGAGCGGAAUCUUCUCAGCAGCGAUCUGCGAAGGGCUCAGCGGCCACAGGAGGGCGGCAGAGAACAGCGCUCCCUACAGAUCCAGACGUCGGCCCUGGAUGCUGUCUGGAAUCCAGCACUGGGGCUGCUGGCACAGAAGGACCCUGUGGCUUUUCCUUCAUGGUAUAGCAGAUGACACCCACGCUCCUCCGUGACAUUCCCUAGGGUCCCAGCUGAUAACUGGAGCUAGAACUAGAACCCACGACUUCUUGGUUCUCUGCGCAGGGGUCUUCCCAUUGUGUCAGCUGCAGCUCCUGAAAUAAAACCAUACCCUACAGGCCACAACCAGACAGCAUCUCAAAUCCCUGGCUUAAACAAUCAAUGCCAAAGCUACUGUGUUCCAUAUGUUUACAUAUGGAACUGGUGCAUACAAGACUGUUAACCCAGGACACAGAUGUGUGCUGUAGCUACCUGGCUGUGCACCCCUCAUCCUCAGGUACAUGGCCCUCUGUCCCUUCUCUUCCUACUUUCUGAACUGCAAAAGAAGCUUCUCUUCAUUUAUAAUUUGGCCUUUUCACUGGAGUUCCAGAAACUCCUCAAAGCUGUAGACACAGAAGCCCUUUCCCAGUUCUAACCUUGGUCCAUCUUACCACAGCCCUUUACACCUGGAGGAGAGGGCCUGCACGUGAUCUUCAGCUCUCUCUUCCCAGGCAUCCCCUCAGCUGGUCCCACCACUGCUUCUUGCCUCUCCCGUCCCUCUGCUGACCAACCCAUGCCUCCUCCAGAUUCUUCUUGCUGCCACUGGUUCUCCUUUCAUCUCAAAAGCUGAGCCACCCAGGGAGGUAGGCAUAGAAAAGAGAAAGGAAGAAAGGUAGGAGGGAUUGGGAAGAAAAUCUGUCUACAAGCCAGAAGAGGACUCUGUCCCUGCCCCCUUUACUCUCAGCUGGUAAGUUCUACUUACAGUCUGACCUCAGUCCUCUGGCUAGUCCUCAUUUUAUCUACUCUCCUUGAAGCUAAAGAGCUAGAGAAGCUGAGAGUAAAUGAGGAGAAAUGGAUCCAAUUGUGUCGGGGGUAUAUGUGCAAGCUUGUGCACUGAUGGCCUGAGUGUGUGUAUACACUUGCAUCACACACCACCCCUUCCCCAUUGCCCCCCCACACACACGUAUUCCAUGCCAUCCCCAAUCUAGGAUUCCUCCUAUAAAACAAGAGGAGAAAAACAUCCCAACCUCUCAAACACCUUAUUCUAACUUUCAUCCUCCAGGGGAAACCUAAAAAGACAACACCCUCCCCCUCUGUUUCCCCCCUUCCCAUGUCCUUGUCCACUCUGGUUUUUGAGAUUUCUUCUUAAACCGCAUGGGGUGCAGCCCCUACACACCUUCCCCAGAAUCCAGGAGGCACCAGAGUCUUGUCCCUGCAAAGGACUGAGACAAACGCCAAUCACGUCGGGGCCUCUUGCAGUGCCCAUUCUGCUAUGAAUUCCCAAGGUCAAAACCAUUCUGGUGUUAUUAAAAACAUAAAUGUUGCAUACCAGGCAGCGGGGGGAAAAAUUAUAAGGCAGCCAGAUGAGAGGGAGAUGGAGGGGCCAGUAAUUGUCUUCGUCUUCCCAGAGUCAAGCUCCACAGGGCUGGAGCCGCACACAGAACAUUGCUUUUUAAUUUAACUCAGUAAGGUCAGUGGCAGCAAAUGAGGCAGGGGAGGAAUGGCACCUCAGAGGGAGGGCGCCGGGACCUGCAGAGCCGAGGCUCCUGGCCAAGAUCUCCAAGAACUGCCAGGGGAAGCAGAGAGAGAAUGGCAGGGAGGAUUUGGUGACCCUUGGCUCACCAGAGAAGGGAGCUGGACUGAGGGGGAGUGAUAUAGGAGCUCCAAGAAUCAUUAUAAGAGCUUCUGAGAGCCUGGGAUUUAAGUGGAAAGAAAGAAAAACACUUCAGAAGGACUCUUAAGUGAGACCAGAAGGCCUGAUAGAGACAAAUACCCCCAUCUUCACUCUCCCCAAUACCCACUCUACAGAGGAGAAUAACAAGGCUCAUGGUUGGAACUCAGAAGUUCCGCUUUCCCCCAGUACCUAUGAAUCCUGGAGCCCAAGUGGAGAGAAUUCUCCAGUGAGGUGGGCCACUCUGUCGCAUCCCCUUCAUCUCCAAGGAUCCAAGGGGGCAGGGGAGAGGAAGAUGGCAGGAGAAACUGUGGCAGAGCCGCCCUCCCUCAGAACCUUCCUCAUCUUCCCCACUUUCUUAGGGUCCCAGCUUCCCAUCUGCAGCUCUGAUAGCUGCAUGGUGGUUCUCUCCAUUUCCAGUGCUAUAGGAAGAAUUGGAGUUAGACUAGAGAAGGGACUUCCCAGAUCAGCAUCUUGGUCAUAGGCACAACCCAGGAUUGGGUAGAAAGGCUAAGGAACCUAGGAUUUUCUGAAUAGGACCAAUGAACUGAGCAUGAUGGGAUUAAGGAGCCUGGAGAAGGUGGGAGACUCACUGACUGGGGGUGGAGAGGAGCUAUGAAAAAGCCGUGCAACAGUCACAGGCAGAGCAUCCAAAUACACUUUGGGACUUACAGGAACUUCUGCAGAUCAGACCUCAGCUCCUUCUGCUUCAGUUUCAGGCUGUUGCCCUUUUAGGGUUUUUGUUUUUGUUUUUGUUUUUGUUUUAGGGAAGGAGGAUUAGAACAAUAGGUUUGAGACUGAAGGACAGUGUUUUAAUUCUCUGUCUCCAUCCUUAAGUGUCCUUGCUACUUGGCAGGUUUCUACUUCCCUGUCAGUCAGGAAUUAGGAGACCCCAAUGUCAAUUUGGAAAUCUGAGGUUUGCUACCCUCAUAAUGUACACCUCUGCCAUCAUCUCCUCCUCCCUCUCCAGAAGAUCCCACUUUCAGCGCAGGGACCCCAAUCCUGCAGUUCUCCGUAUCUGCCACAAGGUGGCAGCCAAAGCAUCGAUUGAUCCAGAGCUAGACCUGGUGCCUCACUAGAGCCAGGACCCAUUCUCCACUCACCCCUUCCCCACCUGGGGGCUGCCAACCCCGAAGGACCCAGGAAAGGAGAAACGUUCUGGAAGGACUCCAGCUCUUCGGAUAAAUGGGCUGGGUGAGGAUUGGGAGGGAGAAGGAAAGGGAAGGUGCAAGGGAAACCGGAGAAACACAAACCGGAGAAACACGAACCUGGAAGUGGGGGAGCAGGCAGUCAGGUGCGGUGAGAAGCCCAAGUUGAGAAUCACAGAGGGGCUGCCUGCCGCUGCCCACACCACACCCAGCGCCCCAGGGGCUCCAGCACAGCAGCCUAGAGCUGUUAACUUGCCCAGAGGCAACCAGAGCAGAAGUACCAGGAGCUGGGGUUGGGGGAGCCUACACCAGAGUAAGCCACCAAGAUCCGGUCAGGGAAAGGGUCUGCGCCACCUCCUCCUCCUCAGUAUGAGACCAUGAGACCCAACGGGACUCCGUUAUCCCUGCCAUUCCCAGAAAACAUUAAACAGGGAAGGGUUCAGUCAAUCUCCCCUGCAGCACUGAUUCUCCUGGUGCGGGAAGAGGGUCCUGGAAGACAGGAAAGAAGAAAGAAGGCAGAUCCCUAGAGAGAAGAAAAACAGCCCUGCUCACAGGGAGGUGCCAGUAUGUGGGGAACAGGCAAGAUAACAGGAAGAGGCCUGCAAGCACCUUGGCAGUGGUUUCGAAAGGAAACAUUUGGGAUCCGGAACCAGGAGGAUCAGUCAAGGAGGGCUUCCUAGAGGAGGACAGUAUGGGACAAUCUUGUAAAAUGCUGAGAGGCUGGUCUGGAAAAAGGAGAGAGAUAGUUCAGGCUGAAGACAGACUAUAUGUAUGAAACUAUUUGGGGUCAGGGGACGACUAAAUACGUGGAUGGCUGCUCAGGUGGAGCUUAGAGACCACACCACCCUGCAGCGGGAGAAUGGGGAGUUGAAGGAACAGGCAUGGUGCAUGUGAGGCAAUGAGGCCUCAAGACCCAGCUGGCACAGCUGGGCAGCACCUGGGCCUAGCUGAAUAUCCUCCCUCUCCCCGACCCCCACAUAGCCAGGAGAAUAAGAACAGAAUAUAGGAUCCUCCAAACAGGGCACAAGAAGGACUCCUAGACCAGGAGUCAGGGGCCUGGGUUUUUCAGAAGCAGCUACUGCAUAACAGGGGACACUGGGUAAAUCUUCCCCCCUCUGAGGACUCUGGCUGCUGUCUGUACAGGCUGAAACUGAUGCUCUCUGACCUCCCUUUUCUGAGACUGUCCUGUUGAUGACUGCCCUCCUCCCAAAGAAUGAUCUGACUCAUCUGUGACCUGCCAGGCUUUAGUCCUCCUUCUCUCAGUGUCCCUAUACUCCAGACACACUCCUCCAUCCAGAAGAAAUUAUUCCAUUUCUGUGGUGGAGGGAUGGAGGUGCAAGGCCCCAGUUUCACGAACUUAGCCUGGGCCUAUUGGGCAUCAAACAUGACAAAGAGGAUCUGAAGUUAGACUCAAGGAAGAACUUCCCAACACAAGUGGCCUGAAAACCUCAGCUUGUGUGAAGUGCAUUAAGAAUAUAUACUAGUGGCCGGCCAGGCACGGUGGCUCACACCUGUAAUCCCAGCACUUUGGGAGGCCGAGGCAGGCAGAUUAUGAGGUCAGGAAUUUGAGACCGACCAGCCUGACCAACAUGGUGAAACCCCAUCUCUACUAGAAAUACAAAAAUUAACCGGGCAUGGUGGCGUGUGCCUGUAAUCCCAACUACUCAGGAGGCUGAGGCAGGAGAAUCGCUUGAACCCGGGAGGCAGAGGUUGCAGUGAGCCAAGAUGGUGCCACUGCACUCCAGCCUGGGCAACAGAGUGAGACUCUGUGUCAAAAAAAAAAAAAGAAAGAAAAAGAAAAAGAAAGAAAGAAAGAAGUAAUAUAUACCAAUGGCGUCCAAGAGACCAGGAAACUGUUUUGGACCUCUGAAUAGUGCCAAUGAGACAGAGAGAAGUUUUGACUGUGGUUAUGGUCCUCCUAGUUAGAAGGUUGCACAUAAAGACUUCUGGGGGCCGGGCGCAGUGGCUCACGCCUGUAAUCCCAGCACUUUGGGAGGCCAACGCAGGCAGAUCACGAGGUCAGGAAAUCCAGACCAUCAUGGCUAACACGGUGAAACCCCGUCUCUACUAAAAAUACAAAAAAUUAUCCUGGCGUGGUGGUGGGCGCCUGUAGUCCCAGCUAUUCAGGAGGCUGAGGCAGAAGAAUUGCUUGAAUCUGGGAGGCAGAGCUUGCAAUGAGCCGAGAUAGCACCACUGCUCUCCAGCCCGGGUGACAGAGCGAGACUCCAUCUCAAAAAAAAAAAAAAAAAAAAAAGACUUCUGGUAAUUCUACCACCCUGAAGUGGAGUAGGGUGAAUCUAGAGUUAGGAAGUGCAGGUUGGUUAGAAGCUAAUGGUCAAAACCUGUGGAGUGGGUGGCAGAGGAGAGAAGUGAGUAGGCCUGAAUUCUUCACAGACUAGGCAGCCUCCCGUCCUGACCCCACCUCUUUAUCACCCUCCCAGGUCAGACCAGAGCCUCUGAGCACUUCCAAUUCAAACCCUGAUUGAAGGCCUCAGAUCCUAGUCUCCAUCUCAGACCCCGGACCCUGAUGCUGUCCCCCUGUGCCUGGAAGGGCAAAAGCACACACUUCUCAGGCUCCCCAACCAAGUAGGAACAGCCUUCCUCUCCUGGCCUCCCACCUCAGCAUCACCACAUACCACAUGCUGGAACCUGCUAGAGAUUUGCAUAAAUCAAAGAUAUCUUCACCUGAGUCUUCCAGCUCCCCCAAGGCACACCACAUGCACACAUACACAUAUGCACACGUUCGCCUGCACACAUGCAGAUACACAGGUGCAUACUCAUACAUGCAUCAUACAUGGACACACAUAACCUCAAAAUACAAGCAUAUGCACACACACCCUCAUCACAAACACUCUCACAUACAUGCAACAUACACAUACUCAUAAACUCACCCACAUUUACAGACACACAUCACAUGCAAACUUACACAUACUCACUCAUCAAACACACUUGUUCACACUCAUGCGCACAUCCUCUGCUAUUCCUUUCUACUGACUAAGGAUCAAGAACCCAGGCUUCUAGAUUCUAGAGAUUUAGAAUGUCCAGCAGAAUGCAUGUAAACUCACAGGAAACCUAUUUUGAGUUUCUUAGCCCAAACUAGAACUUCUUUACCAUAUCCUCUUCCCUGCCUCCAGAUCUCUGGACCUCUGGUCCAGAUCACGGAAAUGGAGCCUGCAAAGGUAACUCAUUCAUUCAUGCAACAGACGUUUUCGAACACCUGCCACCUAUGUGCAGGAAGCUGAGGUAGACACAUAAAAGCAUAAGAACUUCUGCCCCCUAGUGUAGUGGAAAGAGCAAGAGCUCAUGAGACAAGGACCUGAGUUCAAAUACUGCCUCCGUCUCAACAAGCUGUGUUACCUUGGGAACAUUACAUAACCUCUCUGAGCCUCAGUUUCAUCACCUGUAAGGUGAGGUUAAUAAAACCCAGUAAUGCUGUGAGGAGUAAAAGGCAGGGAAAACCUCCAACAGCAAUGUGCCCACCCAUGAAAAGGGUCCCCAUUCCCUUCCCUAGCCCCUGCAGUGGAGGUGGAGGGAGAGCGGCUCCCCAACACCCUCCCUGUCCUGCCGUCACUGAAGCAGAAACCCAGUCUCCUUCAGCCUCAGACCCCACAGGUCGCGUUUUCCGUAAUAACCUUUAAUGCGGCUGGCCACGGCCCAAAUGUUCGCGAUGGAGUGCUGGGCCCCGCGCAUCAGAUGGACGAUGAAGUGUUAAUCAUCCCCCAGGGAGCCGUCCCGCGGAAAGUCGUCAUUAAUUUCUCUGAAUUACACCAAUUCCGAGACAUUCUUUAUGGACAGACAGUGCGGGAGACAGUUAUAUGACAGGACUUGCUGUGCUAAGCAGAUGUGGGAGAGAUUGCGUCGCCCCAUGAAUACUAAACAAUCGCUCCGAAGAAACCCCACUAGCUUCUGCGCUCAGAGCUGGGACUCGGCUUACUCCGUCUCCCACCCUGAUGGGCACACCCCUGCAGGUGCCUGGGGUUGGAGAAGGAGGGCUGGCGCCCAUCCCUGCUGCAUAGGUGGCCUCCUCGGCUCCCCUCCGAAGUCAGGCCUCGGCCACAGAGCAAGAAGUGGCUCUGGGGCUCUCACCCUCACCUUCCUGGGACCCUGCAAGGACCCACAAACACCCUUGCCUUCCCUGCCAUAGCCUUUGCUCCCUGCAUUCCUUCCAGGGCCUGAACUGCUUCUAAACGUCUUGCUGUCUCCCCUCUCUCCGACUCUGAUCCUCCUCUAGCUCAUCACCCAGACGACUCACUACCUGCUCGUUUCUGAGUCUUCAUCCCGCUUCUCCCACCUCCCAUCCUGCCCCGCCUCCAUCCCUCCGACCCCCUCUUCCUGCCCACCUCCCACUCUGCUCACUUCCCCAGCCUGACCACUUUCCACCCUACCCAGGCUGCCUGCCCAUCUCCCCAAAGAACCCCGCCUGGCAGUGGGCAUAGCUUUCCCAUUCCCUCCCUCGCUCUAACCGGCUGCACCCUACACUGUGCCCCAUUUCAAGUCAUCUCUCCUACAUCUGCUUUCACACCUCGCUCACCCUUCAGAAUCUAGCGGGGGAGGGACAAAGUUCAGAGCAGAAUGAAAGGAAGGGGGUGUGACCCUUUUCUCUCUCCUCCUGCCCUCUGCCUGCUCUCCUCUCUUCUUUCUGGGAUACUGGGAGGGGAGUCAACGAGAGCUGGGGACACCUCCCCACCAGCAGAGUGGUGGGCGCCAGGGAGUGGGGGAGAAGGAAGAGGGUGGCCGGGGAAACCUGCCUAGGCGAUGGGUCCCACCUGGAGAAAGCCCCGCCCACCACAACGAGCUCCACCUCCCCUGAGCGGCGGGGGAGGCUCCGCCCUAAGGCCGAAGGGUCCUCCUUGGCAGCCCGGGGACCUUGGGAGGGCCAGGUUUCUCGGUCACCCCAGGCCACUGUCCCUCGGGGGAGGACAGAGGCAAGUGCACACUGUUCCUGUCAGGCCGUCCCUCCGCCUUUGCCGGAGGGAGGACCCCCUCAGCGCCUUGCGCGGGUCUGGGGGAGAGGAAGGAAAGUGCGCAGCCUCUGCGUCUUUCCUCCUCGCAGGUAAUUUAUGUCUGAGAGCGGAGCAGAUGGCGGGUAAUUUAGCAAUUACCGUGUGCGGGAACGGGACUCGCGCCUCCACAUGGAAGCCAAAGAUUCCCCGCCGCAGUCUCAUCUCAUUUGCUGCCUGUUUUCUCUAUUUUGUCUCCCCUUCCCCCGCCACACCUCGCUGAAUCCCAAAACUCAGGCGGAGGGGAUCUCCUGCUCGGGGUCCCAUUUCAUCCUGACCCCUCUCGACAUCAGGCCUAGGUUUUCUGCCUCAGAAAACACGAGGUAGAGUCUGUUUGCUCACUGGGAGUCCUUCCUUCCCCUCUCACCUUCAGCCUUCUUGCUGCUCUAAGUGACCGUACUGUACUGGGAGGCUGUGGGGUUCUCUCCCAACCUUCUCCCCUACUGCCACUUCUUCAGGCUUUCCACGGUAUUUUCCUCAAAUAUCUGGGUUCCAGACCCCCGGUUUCAGAAUAGGCUUCUGGACCCCAAAGUUAACCCAGCGGCUAAGAAGCCUGGGUGCCUGCAUGGGCAGCAAGGGGAAAGCAGUGAUUGUUAAGGUGAGAGGAGCCCCAAAGCCCUUUGGAGCUCUGUCCACGCAGUGAGCAUGUAAUGAGUAUGCAAUGGCUGACAGAAGCUGGCCUGAGUGAGGAGAGGGCAGGCAGAGGGGACAGGAAUGAGGCUGGAGGCAUCUGACAUGCCUCCUUCCCCUUCUACUCCCUUCCUUUCUGGGCCACCUGGGGAAAGGAUGCUGUGAGAUAGGCCCUGGGCCUGGAGACCUCCCUAAGCUGCACGGGAGUCGGGGGUGUCCUCCCUUCCCUCUGCCUCUAUCCAGCCCAGCCCAGGACACAGGACACCCACAACCAAGAGGCUGUAUCCCACACACACCCUGUCUUCGGCCGGGGCCCCUAGAUCUCUGACCUUCACUGUCACCCUUAAUCCUGGACUGCAGCUUGAAUGCUCCCAUUCCAACAGGACUUUAGGUGACCUCUGGGCUCUGCAGAGCUGGCCUCUUAGGCUUUGAGACACCCUCAUCACAAACUCCCCCAGCUCCUCCUCAUUCCUCAACACCAGAGGAGCACUAAUUAAUUAGCGUGUGCAACCAGCCGUAGGCACAAUCUCGUUACUCACCACAGGGACCCGCUGUUAACAUACCAGACCCCCGGGACGCCGGCACAUGCCAAUUACACAGCUAGCAGCUCGGCUAAUCACGGCUCCUGGUGACACUGUGGCUUACAGAAGAAUCCCCACUUCCCUCCUCCCACCUUCCCCUACACUCCUGCCUCUGGGAACAGGAGGCUGGAAGGGAGGAUGUGAAGACUAGAUGGGGAAAAGUUGAAACGCUGGGGAACAGGAGGCCAGCCAUGGAGUAGCUGAGGUGAGAGUGGGACUGAAAAGUUAGAAAGAAGAAUUCUCCUACAAAUCACUUUAGGCUGUAAACAGACACUAUGGAAUUAGUAACUGCAAUAAGAGGGUGUGCUGGUGGACUACAAGAAGGACUUCCUGAUGAGGCCAUUGCAAUGGUAGAAUUGGACCUGACAAAGGACAGCCUUUCUUCCUACAAGAAGCAGCCAAGGGAAAAUGGCCUGUGAGGUGGAAGAGGAAGGGAAAAAGGGGAAGUUCCAGGAACUCAGGUAUCUGGUGCCAUCCUGUUCCUCAGCUGCAGUUCAAGGGUACAGAGAGGAGGCGGCCUCACUGCAGACACAGAUAGACGGCUUCCCUCCCACACACGUCCCAUUGACUUUGCCAUUCUGCUGUCACUCCACAGCUUCUCCGAGAUUUAACAUAUUGACUCUCUGAGCUGCAGAAAAUUGAAUUUUCUUCAUUACGACUGUCUCCCGACAAAAGCAGCUCAUAAAUUCUACAUCUUUUUCAGGCUUCCCACCCCCUCACCACCCAACAUCUCUCCAGGGUAUUCACAUAUUUGAACAUGCCAUUCACAUGGGUGUAAAGGCAAGGCAUGACCAGCACUCCCCACGGACACAGCAUUCACAAAGACAGCGUUCACCCCAUCCCUCACUGCCCAUACAUAGAUCCAGUCUACACCCAGACCUGGCCACUGUCAUCAGAAAUGAGGGUUCAUGUCUUCCACAACCAGGGUGGGUCCAAGUAUAUGGUGCCCCAUAUAGCAGAGUCACAUGUCCCGUAUCAAGGGGCGAAAGAUCCCAUGCCGUAGCCAAUGCGUGUACGUCUAUAUUGUGGCCCAUUAGCAGUCUCACGGGUGACACUGUCACAUGGGACAGAGUCAUCUGUCCUGAGAUACAGUAUUCACUCCAAGUCCACCUCAGUGCUACCUGGGCAUAGCUACAGGUCCCUCCCCAUAGUACUGGAAUCCCUGCCCACACUCCCACCUGGGAAUAUGCCCACAAGUAUGAAACAUAUGCAAGUCUCUCAAGCUUUGUAUAGUCAUAGACAUGGAAGGAGGAGAAGAAACAUCUCCUAGGACCUAGUGGGGAGUCUUCCUUCACACCACAGCAACCGCUCCUGUCUCCUCCCAACACUGUCCCCUGCCCAUGCACAUGUUAAGCAGCUGGUCUUCUUCCACUACUAUAGUACCUCAGCAGUACUCCUUAAGGCACAGACACCUCCCUUCCACCAUUAAGGGAUGUUGGACUUGGCCUCCCACUCCAGAGUGUGCUCUCCCCAUCUGACUCUCUCCUGCUUAGGCCCCAGGAACAGCACUGGGGGAGGGCAGGGCCUAGUUCCUUUAGCACCUGUGCCAGCCUGGCAGCUGAGGCUGUAAUAGAUGGGCAAGAGGCCAGGCUGAUGGCCAGCACCAUGUGGCUUGUGCCCAGGGCCAGAUUGGGGCGGGAAGUGGUGGGCUAGGUGCCCAGGCACUCCACCUUCCAAAAUGCCACACAAUCUGUGAGUGGAGAGAAACAGAAAGAGGGACUCAGAUAGAUUCAGACGAGGACACCCCCUGAGACCAGACUAAGUCAAUCUCUGACCCUUCAACAGCCGCUCCCACCCCUACAACACUGACCCAGGCACAAAGGAAGUCACCACAAACAAGAGAGGACAACCAGUUAUUUUCAAGAAUGACUAGCCCAACCUCACCAACAGCAAAACUAGAUUGUGGGGGUACAAUCAGAAACAAUAAUAAGAAUGACUCCUCUAUUAGGAGAGGGGCUGAGACUUGGGAGGUCUGCAUGCAUUUUUAUGUGAGCUAAUUAAUAUACAAAUGUUAUGUGGAAUGCACAAAUGUUAUGUGGAAUGCAGAUGAACAUCUAUUGCCUUUGCAAUCCCGAACCAGCUCCUCUUGGUACUAAUACAAACACACACACACACACACACACACACACACACACACACACACACUCUAUAUGAUUAGCUGGACUGUUUUUCCCAGCACGUAGGUUUCUAAACUAUCUUCCGUCUUAUCCCUUAAGAGCAAGUUUGGAACUACACAAAGAUGGCCAGGAAGGUUGGGAUCCACGAUACAAGGAAAGGCUUUCUGGAGACUCAGAUGUACCUCAAAUCCUCUUUGUCCAGAAGGAGAGCAACCCCCCCCAUGCCAGCCUUACCCAUGCCCACCUGUAAACCUACUCCUGGCUGGGCACGGUGGCUUACACCUGUAAUACCAGCACUUUGGGAGGCUGAGGCGGGUGGAUCAUUUGAGGUCAGGAGUUUGAGACCAGACUGGUCAAAAACCGUGUCUCUACUAAAAAUAACAACAACAACAACAAAAACUAGCUGGGCGUGGUGGCGCACGCUUAUAAUCCCAGCUACUGGGGGAGGUGGAGGCAGGAGAAUCACUUGAACCUGAGCGAUUGUUACAGUAAGGUUACAGUGAACGGAGAUCACUGCGCUCCAGACUGGUGACAGAGCGAGACUUCGUCUCAAAAAUAAAUAAAUAAAUAAAUAAAUAAAUAAACCUACUCCUUCUGCCAACGUCCCCUCUCAGGGAAGGACUGCAUCCACUCAGAUGCCCAAGCCAGUACCCUGGGAUCAGCCAUGACCCUUCCUUCAGGUUAGGAUGAGACAUGGGAGCCUGUUGCAUGUAUUAAAUGACUUAGUGACUUUUUUUUUCUUUUUUGAGACAGGGUCUCACUUUGUUACCCAGGCUGGAGUACAGUGAUGCAAACACAGCUCACUGCAGCCUCGACCUCCUGGACUCAAGUCAUCCUCCCACCUCAGCCCCUAAGUAGCUGGGACCACAGGCAUACGCCACCAUGCUCAGCUAAUUUUUGUAUUUUUUGUAGAGACAAGGUUUUGCCAUGUUGUCCAGGCUGGUCUUGAACUCCUGAGCUCAAGCAAUCCUCCCACUUCAGCCUCCCAAAGUCCUGGGAUUACAGGCAUGAGCCACCACACCUGACCCCCUUAAGUGAUUUUUUUAAGCUAAAAGUUUAACUUUUUUAGCAUCACAUGUCUACAGACAUUCAAAAUCAUUACUUCAAAAAUCAAAAUGUCCUGUUUCCUUCAUUGCCCACAUCCUGCAUGCUACUUCCUAAAUAUCUCUGUGUCUAUCCAAUUUGCUGCAUUCUCUGUGGCAGACGAGAGACAGGUCUUAGCAAGAUAACUGAGCUGCUUCCUUGUUGCGUUCUCAGGCUCCAGGGUUAACCUCCCCGCUUCCCCCGAUUCCCAUAGCGCUAGGGAGGCCAGAGAAGCAUAGGGGACAGGCCAAGACACACAGUUUCCCAGAGAGAAGUAUUUUGAAACUGCCAGAAAGCUGAUAGAAUUGCAAAGUACAUUAAAUCAGCUACUUAAAUUGUGACCACAACACACAGCUAUUUAUUUUGUGACAGGGUAAAAAGUUUCAAACUUUUUAUCAAUAGAAUAAUAAAAAUAAAGAAACCCUAUAACCAUAUGAAUAACACUAUCUUGAGGGAAAUCAGCCACAUUCAUGACCAAUCAGCCUGUGGCCUUAUGCCCCACCAACAUUUUGGUUGGCUGAAUUCCAGUCUUUCUUCAGCAGGGGAUCUUUGCUUAUGUGUGAUUCACAAAGUUGAUGCUCUAUAAAUUUCAGUGGAAUAAAUGUGACACUAAUAGAGGUAUGAGCAUGUGGCCAGAUUAGAAUCAAAAGUCUUCUCAUCAGAGGUAUCUCUUCUCCCAGGACAACUCUACUGAUUCUAGAAUGUUGAUUCAACCCAUGUUGAUAGAGCAUGGAAUGGGCACAAGACUAGAUUCUAUCUCCAGCCCCUAUUAUAUGAGGCCAUAUGAUGGGUUCUCACCAAUAGGAUAUAAGUGGAAGUAAUGUGUUACUCCCAAGCUGUGAAAGUUUAGUGUGUGCCUUCUCCACAUGCUCGCUCUUCCCCAUCUGCUGGCGGUGACACCUGGGCAAUCUGAAGCCACAUAUUUCAGAUGGCAGAUCCACAGCAUGAACAGAUCUGGAUUCUUGAGUCACCUGACCACAAAUAUCCACAUUGGACUUAUGUGAUACAUAAAUUCUUAUCAUGUUAAGACACUGAGAUCUGGGGGUUGUCUGUUGCAGCUGUUAUAUCUAUUCUAAUACACGAAUCAAGGUAAUGAGGCCAAAAUGGCAAAAAAACAGACUUGUAACACUGUCGAAUUUGGACUGGCAGAGGGCAUAGGAGAGCACUCUCGAGUCAGGAAUUCUUGAUUUAAAUCUCAUACUAGGGGCUGGGUACAGUGGUUCAUGCCUGUAAUCCCAGCUUUUUGGGAGGCCAAGGCGGGCGGAUCACUUGAGAUCAGGAGUUCGAGACCAGCCUGGCCAACACAGUGAAACCCCGUCUCUACUAAAAAUACAAAAGUUAGCCAGGCAUAGUGGCAGGCACAUGUAAUCCCAGCUACUCGGGAGGCUGAGGCAGGAGAAUUGCUUGAACCCUGGAGGCAGAGUUUGCAGUGAGCUGAAAUCAUGCCACUGCACUCCAGCCUGGGUGACAGAGUAAGACUCUCUCUCAAAAAUAAAUAAAUAAACCUCAUACUAGCUAUGUGGCUUUGCUCAAGUUAUUUAAUCUUUCUGAACUUUGGUUUUUUUCAUUGAUAAAAAUUAUAUAAUAAUAAUAUGAUCUGAACACUUUGAUAGUAGAGUGGGUUGACGGGUCUGCGGAGUGAAGGAGCUGCAGACCUGAGUAUAGUUGAGAACUCUAAACCAUUCUUCCACCCAGCCCUAGGUCAACCAAGGAACUAAGAGGACAAAAGAAAAUGGGCCGGAGACCUUAAAGAAAAGCCCCAAGGAUAUCAAACUUUGCGCUAAAAUUACAUCAAUGUUUUUCCUACUUCCCACAGAGUCCACAGUUUGGAAACAUUCAGAACAGCCUACAAUAUCUGAUAGAGCUGCUUCUGAGUGUUUGUAAAGCACCCAGCAGAGUGCCUGAUACAUGGCAGACACUCAGUACUAUUAAUAACACUGGCCAUCAUUAUUUUCUCAGAAAGCAUCUUGUUAUAUUGGGAAAGGUAUAGGUUUCAGAAUAAGAUUGUUCUUAGAGGCUUUUUUUUUUUUAGACCGGUCACAUUCUCGUCGCCCA